CUCAGGACAAGAGAUGGAAUCUGCAGUGUCUUUUAUGACCUCGACCUGGGGCCACACUGUCACCUCUGUGACAGUCUGUUGGGUGCACAGACAAGCCCUAGAAGGACAUGGGGAGCCUGCACGAGGGUUUGAACACCAGGAGGCAGACAUCACGGGGGCACAGGCUGCCCUCUGGCCAUGAUCCGCUCCCUCUCAUGAGCAAACGCGCCCACGCCCUCCAGGCCCCAGAGUCUCAUCCUGUCACAGCAGCAGCUCGAGUCUUAACAACGUCGUGGGUCUCCUGUGGACCUUUUGGAGUUCAUUCCAUUGGUCAGACACCAAGUUCACGGUCUCUUUGAGGUGAUCGCUCUGUCUCCUGGGUGUCUGCUGCGGUGGGAGGGUGAUGCCUAGCGUCUCCUGGAGCUGGAGCAUUGGCCUGUGAGGACUGCCGGACGCGCCCGCAAUCCCCUGGAAGGGUCGCCAGCAGCUUUCGGGCCCUGCCGUCUGCUGUCUGCUGUCUGGAGACCUGGGGCCACGGUUCAUUCUCUCCCGGGUUCUGAGUGUCCUGUGACACAGCAGCUGCCCCCCCACAGCCAGUGACCCAGGAGACGGAGAGCAGCGAGACGUGAGCCACCUGUCCUUACAACCUGAUCUUGGAAGUGACAUGGCGUUGCGACCAGGCCCGCCACUGCUGCUGUGCAACUCAUGUGAACACACGGAAGCUGGAACCUUCCGUAGCACACGGCCAAAACACAUUUCCCAAAUAUGCUCACACUGGCGAGGAAACAGACACAGCAGGUGGGGAGCUGGGAGCCCCCUUACUUGCCAGGGCCACAAGAAUGUCGAAGGCAGACCACGUGCCUCCCACACCUGACCGUCUCGGGAAGCGGCUGGUGGAAGGAUCUAGAAGGUGGUGGGUGUCGGGUGCUCCUCUCCGCUCUCUGCUCUUUGAUGCUGUUGUGCUCAGUCUGCGUCUCAGAUGUGUUUCCUACCAGGGGACCCUGAUACGGUGCAGCCGAGGAGCAUGGACGGGCCGUGGGUCAGCGUGAUGCAGACUUCCCCAGUGGUCCUCAGGGGCAGGCACUGGGGAGGGGGGCAGGCUGCCAGCAGCAUCUUGGGUCACCGAGGAUGCGAAGGUGACUGGAGGACUCGGGGCCUCUGUGGGGCGUCCUCCACUUCCCAAAGACAGAUUCUCAGGGACUUGGAGGGGACCAAGCGUCAAGCUAGGGAAUCAAGAAAAAGACCCUCAGCAGUCCCGUGGGUGGACAAGGACAGACGGAGAGGGCAAGGCCCGAGGAAUCGCCUCGAUGCUGAGCGUGGACGUGUGACGUGGAUGAAGGGUCCUCGCGCCAGGCCUGGCUCCGGGCAAGGGUUGACUGGCUGUGUGGCAGCCCAGAGCCCCUCCAGCUGGGCCCCCCACGCUGGGCCCCCCACGCCCUUUCCCUCCUCAGUUCUUGGUCUUCCGCACUCGGAGUCUGCUGGGGCAGAGGGAAUGUCCCCCUUGGCCCCCAGGUGCCAGAUUUGUGGGGACUCUGCAGAAACGAACCUGCUGGCGAAGUUUGGGUGAGGACGAAGCCAGAAAAUCAGAAGCUGCUGCUCACGCUCUGGGAAUGGGUGCCCCUCGGAUGUCAGCUCCUGCUGGGCUUCUGGGAGGGAGCACGAUCCCUGCUGGAUGGUAAAUCACCAAAAACGCGUCAACCCACCCGUACAGGAAGGUUCCCAGCCAGGGGGAGAAGAGAGCUUCCUCGUUUCCAGGAGUGAAGCCAACGUCCUCUCUUCAUAAGCAAGAACCACAGAUGAACAGAGAAAAUACAUUUUCAGUAGCCAGCCGUCAUUGAGACCUUUCUAGGUACAAAACCGUCUUCCGAUCAGUUCACGCACAUUAAUACGCUGAGUCGUCUCCUCAGCCCGGGGAGGGAAGCCCCUCAGGACCCAUUGACAGAUGUGGAAACAGAGGCGCCAGAAGAGGAACAGCACCUGAGGGCGCCGGCUGGCGCGUGCAGGGCUGAGCUUCACGGGCGGCAGCUUCAGAGGGGUGGGUCCCUACGUGGGGCACGUCAGGGUGCAGGCCAGGACCUACCCCUCCUGGAGGGCGGAAAGAGGAGCCUGUGAGUCAGUGAGCCAACAGCCACGGCCUGCUGGUGACAGGCAGACCCAGAGGACAAAGGUAUCCGGGGGCUUCUCCCUUCCUGAAGCGCCAAAACUCAGAAACCAUCAACAGCAGUCUCCUCUGGGUGCGACAUGAAGAAAGAAAAUUAAUGCAGCUGCUCAGACUCAAGGACUCGCGCUCCUCCCAGCGCCCCUCACCUCUGAAUCACCACCUCUGGCUGAGGACAGGGGCUCCUGGGCUCAAUAUCGUGAGGCUCUCGGCUGAACGGAGUGAUCUGGAUCAUACUCCUUUGCCUAAAACUAAAUGCACGAUGCGACCCGUCCCUUUUCAAAUAAAGUAGGACGAACCACACACCCCGUCAGUGCGGACGGUGGUGUAACGAGGGCGAAGGCCCCAGCACCAGGGUCUUGGGCAGGAACUCUCCCUGGACACACCGUGCUCUGCACACGCCCGCUUUCUCCCCUGGGAUGCCCUCUCCUGUCUUGAUGUGGACUUUCACUGGUUAUUCUUCUCUCUGAUAAUUAAAUUAUUUUCAUAGUGUUUUAAUUACAUUCAUAGCAACUUAUACAAAA
ensembl:lncRNA